rnacentral:rRNA from 1 species
AUUGAACGCUGGCGGCAUGCUUUACACAUGCAAGUCGAACGGCAGCACGGGUGCUUGCACCUGGUGGCGAGUGGCGGACGGGUGAGUAAUGCAUCGGAACGUGUCCUGAAGUGGGGGAUAACGCAUCGAAAGAUGUGCUAAUACCGCAUAUUCUCUGAGGAGGAAAGUAGGGGAUCGAAAGACCUUAUGCUUUUGGAGCGGCCGAUGUCUGAUUAGCUAGUUGGUAGGGUAAUGGCUUACCAAGGCGACGAUCAGUAGUUGGUCUGAGAGGACGACCAGCCACACUGGGACUGAGACACGGCCCAGACUCCUACGGGAGGCAGCAGUGGGGAAUUUUGGACAAUGGGCGAAAGCCUGAUCCAGCCAUGCCGCGUGC